UUCACAUGAAAAGACUGGGACUAGGUGAUUUGGGGGCGGGGCGAAGGAAGCAAGUCAGGCUUGUGUCCUUCCUCCGCCCCGCCCCCAAAUUACCUAGUCCCAGUCUUUUCAUGUGAAA